rnacentral:lncRNA from 1 species
UCGCCUUGAAACCCCUCUUCCCUCUCAGAUUCUCUUGAACCUUCCUCAACCCUAGCCGCCUUUAAUCGCCUCCACCUUGAAACCCACCGGAAACCAUGGCUUUUCCGGCUACGAUAGUCUUAUACUCAUUACUCAUGUGUGCUCAAUAAUUGAAGAAUUGAGGCCAGACCUCAAAGGUCUUCAUCUAGACCUUUGCCGGCUUGAGGUUUCACG